rnacentral:ncRNA from 1 species
GAUAACUGGCUUGUAGCAGGCAAGCGAUCAUAGCGACUCUGCUUUUUGAUUCUUCGAUGUCGUCUCUUCUGAUCAUCGUAGUGUAUAUUUUACGAAGUGUUGGAUUGUUCACCCGGUAAUGAGGAACGUGAGAUGGGUUUAGACCGUCGUGAGACAGGUU